AAUCAAACCCGGAGAUAUCUCGUUCUCCCCGAAAUAGCUUUAGGGCUAGCGUCGCGCGUUCACCGCCGGAGGUAGAGCACCGGAUGGACGAGGGGGCUUCGCCGCCUACCGAAUCCAACCGAACUCCGAAUGCCGGCGGCCCAGAGCGCGGCAGUCAGAGCAUGUGGGCUAAGCUGUGUGCUCGAGAGGGAAACAGCCCGGACCGCCCGCUAAGGUCCCCAAGUUCCAGCCGAGUGGCAAAGGAUGUGCGUCCGCCCAGACAACCAGGAUGUUGGCUUAGAAGCAGCCAUCCAUUCAAAGAGUGCGUAACAGCUCACUGGUCGAGUGGACAUGCGCCGACAAUACACGGGGCUAAGCUGGACACCGAAGCGGCGGGAUUUUAAUUCAUUAGAAUCGGUAGGGGAGCUUCCCAUGGGCGGUGAAGCCGGAGGGCGACCGACGGUGGAGCGCAUGGGAGUGAGAAUGCUGGCAUGAGUAGCGAGAGACGAGAGAGUAACUCGUCCGCCGUGAACCCGAGGUUUCCUGGGCAAGGCUAAUCCUCCCAGGGUCAGUCGGGGGCUAAGGCGAGGCCGGGAGGCGUAGCCGACGCGCAGCAGGCAGACAUUCCUGCACCGCGCACGCGGCGCUACGACCGACGGGGCGACGGAUGGGGGUGGCUCGGCGGGGUUCUGGACGUCCCCGUGAUGGAGCGCGGCCCGCGGACCAGGGAAAUCCGGUCCGCAGAAGGGCGAGGCUCCGGACGAAGCGACUGAGCGAAGCGAGUGAGCCCGAGGUCCCUAGAAAAACCCCUAGGCAGGCGCGUGCGCGCCCGUACCGCAAACCGACACAGGUGGGUGGGUAGAACAUACCGAGGCGAUCGGGUCAACCAUGGUCAAGGAACUCGGCACAAUGGCCCCGUAACUUCGGGAGAAGGGGUGCCCGCGCGUACGUGAACCGGCUCGCCCGGGGAGCGGAGGCGGGCCGCAGUGGAGAGGCCCAAGCGACUGUUUACCAAAAACACAGGACUCUGCAGAAGCCGCAAGGCGACGUAUAGGGUCUGACGCCUGCCCGGUGCCGGAAGGUCACGCGGAGGAGUUAGCCGAUUCGGCGAAGCCCCGAAGCCAAGCCCCGGUAAACGGCGGCCGUAACUAUAACGGUCCUAAGGUAGCGAAAUUCCUUGUCGGGUAAGUUCCGACCUGCACGAAAGGCGCAACGACUUGGGCGCUGUCUCGACCAUGGACCCGGUGAAAUUGCACUGGUCGUGAAGAUGCGACUUACCCGCGGAAGGACGGAAAGACCCCGUGAACCUUCACUGCAGCUUGGCAUUGGCCGCUGGUCCCGCGUGUAGAGGAUAGGCAGGAGGCUAAGAUCCGGAGGCGCCAGCCCCCGGGGAGCCGCCCUUGGAAUACUGCCCUCGCGCGACCGGCGUCCUAACCCGAGGCCGUCAACCGGCUCGGGGACCGUGCCAGGCGGGCAGUUUGACUGGGGCGGUCGCCUCCUAAAGGGUAACGGAGGCGCGCGAAGGUCCGCUCGGGACGGUCGGCAACCGUCCUUUUGAAUGCAAGAGUACAAGCGGGCUUGACUGCGAGGCCCACAAGCCGAGCAGGUGCGAAAGCAGGCUCUAGUGAUCCGGCGGCCCCGAGUGGGUGGGCCGUCGCUCAACGGAUAAAAGGUACUCCGGGGAUAACAGGCUGAUCUUGCCCAAGAGUCCACAUCGACGGCAAGGUUUGGCACCUCGAUGUCGGCUCAUCGCAUCCUGGGGCUGGAGCAGGUCCCAAGGGUACGGCUGUUCGCCGUUUAAAGCGGUACGCGAGCUGGGUUCAGAACGUCGUGAGACAGUUCGGUCCCUAUCCUCCGCAGGCGCAAGAGGAUUGAGGAGGUCUGCCCCUAGUACGAGAGGACCGGGGUGGACGGACCUCUGGUGCAGCAGUUGUCGACCAACGGCACGGCUGCCUAGCUACGUCCGGCACGGAUAACCGCUGAAAGCAUCUAAGUGGGAAGCCGUCUCCAAGAUGAGUCCUCUUUCCGGUAAGGGCCCAGGCAGAACACCUGGUCGAUAGGCCGCAGGUGCAAGGCGUGCGAGCGCCUCAGCCGAGCGGUACUAAUAGCCCGAGCUCUUCUUC
rnacentral:rRNA from 1 species